rnacentral:rRNA from 1 species
UACGUAGGGCGCAAGCGUUGUCCGGAAUUAUUGGGCGUAAAGAGCUCGUAGGCGGUUUGUCGCGUCUGCUGUGAAAAACUCGAGGCUCAACCUCGGGCUUGCAGUGGGUACGGGCAGGCUAGAGUUCGGUAGGGGAGACUGGAAUUCCUGGUGUAGCGGUGAAAUGCGCAGAUAUCUGGAGGAAUACCGGUGGCGAAGGCGGCAUCCUGGACCGGCAUUGACGCUGAACAGCGAAAGCUAGGGGAGCAAA